ensembl:lncRNA LINC03002 long intergenic non-protein coding RNA 3002
CCUUCUAGGCUCCAGACUCACUGGAGACAUCCUGACACAUAAUGCUUCGCCCAGCACAAUGCGAUGCCCUUUACCUAGUAAAAGGGUGAGUCCCGUAAAGGUGCUGCCUUCCCCCCAGAACAAACAAGGGAAAUGCAUCAGGAGAGCUCAGCUGCAGACAGAAUGCACAUCAUGAAGCAGGAGCCACCCUGGGAUUCCUCAGAUGAAAGCCAAUUUCAAUGAACAUUGUGUUUCAAAGCCCGCUUCCUCUUGCUCGGUAAGAGCUGCAGAAGGAACAUCCCACUUGAGUCUGCUGACACAAAAGAAUGCUGUGGCUGGGAGAUCUUAUCGAGCCUUCCUGUGCCACAGCAACAGAGCUCCAGUUGUGUCUUGUAAGAAUUGGUCAUUGUUUCAUGGGGACGACUGGCUCCUUUGGGUGGGAUCUGAUGGCAUCUCAUGGAGUUGAGGUUGUCUGCCAACGCUAACUGGCCAGCUCUGACAGGAGGUGCGUGGCCCAGGAGGAGCCAUCAGGCCAGUUCUCUGGGAUACUGCUGUGUCUCCAGCUCUGCAGUUUGCUCUUCGUCACUCAGCGGCAGACGGAGAGGCAGACACGAGCCCCUUGUGAGCCCUCCUCCUUACCGUCAUCUCACAAUGCUCUGAAAUAAGGAGGCAAAUGGCUGAGGUCCCCUCAGUUGUAGAUGUGAUUGAGUUCUAUCUACCAGAAGCAUAUGCCUCCUGGAAGCCUGGUUCUAACACCUCCCACAAAAUCCUUCAAGCACUUUUUUCUGUUCCAAGGUUUGCUUAUGGGGGACCCAGUGAAGUGCUUCAGAGCCCUAGAGAUUUGCUGAGUCAUAUGAGGGGUCAGCAAACUUUUCCUGUAAAGGGUCAGAUAAUAAACAUUUUAAGCUUUGUAGACUGUAUAAAGUCUCUGUUUCUUCUCCCCCUCCUCCUCCUCUUUCUCCUUCAGCUUCUUUCCUUUAAAUAUGUACAAAACCUUUCUUCUUUUCCAAAAUCUGUCUAUAUUUGACCUGUGAGCUGUAGUGUGCUGAGUCCUGCAUUAGUAGGAAAGAUCUUGAGUUUCAGAAUGACGAUGUAAAGCAGAGACCCUCCUCCCCGCACCCAUUCUCUGCAACCGACACUUGGAUUACUUUUCUUUUACUCUUUGUCUUUCUCUGAAGUAUAGAUGUAUGGUUGGCUUUCUGAGGUCAAAUAUAAUUAAGAGGUAGCCAACCAUUUGGCAAAUUUGAACCAAGAAGAGUUCUGAUAUAAAGAAUGUAGGACCCAUUCACUCCCAAUUAGUCUCUUCACUGAAAGGUGGCUUACACCAGGUAUAUCUCAUUUGCUAAUUUGCUUAGUCCAUGUCUAGGGAACCAUUGUGAUCAAGCCAAUAUACCCAGGCCAGAGCAGCCUGCUUUAGAAUCAAAGCUUUAGGCUAGGCGUGGUGGCUCACAUCUGUAAUUCCAGCACUUUGGGAGGCCGAGGCGGACAGAUCACUUGAGGUCAGGAGUUCGAGACCAGCCUGGCCAACAUGGUGAAACCCCGUCUCCAUUAAAAAUACAAAAAUUAGCCGGGCAUGGUGGCGGGCCCUGUAAUCCCAGCUACAG